rfam:Asian citrus Psyllid, Diaphorina citri - Florida Strain, whole genome shotgun sequence.
AGUCUGGUCAGCUCGAAAGGUAGAGCGUCUGCCUUGUAGGCACUGGGUCGCGGGUUCAAUUUCCGCUCAGGCUA